rnacentral:rRNA from 1 species
UAAAGUAAAACAGAGCCGGCAAAUCUGGUGCCAGCCGCCGCGGUUACACCAUGUGGCUCAGAUUGACCCUUAUCGGCGUAAAGCGUGAUUAAAGUUCCACCCCAAUUAGAGUCAAACUAAGACUAAGCUGUGACACGCUUGUACUUAAGAAGCCCAUAGACGAAAGUUACUCCAACUCAAUCAACUUGAAUCCACGACAGCUGAAACACAAACUGGGAUUAGAUACCCCACUAUGCUCAGCCGUAAACUUUAAAUUACACCCACUAUCGCCAGGGAACUACGAGCAAAGCUUAAAACCCAAAGGACUUGACGGUACCCCAUAUCCACCUAGAGGAGCCUGUCCUAUAAUCGAUACCCCCCGCUAAACCUCACCACUUCUCGCCCAUUCAGCCUGUAUACCUCCGUCGUCAGCUUACCACGUGAGCGCAACUUAGUGAGCUUAAUGCCCAUACGCCAACACGUCAGGUCAAGGUGCAGCAAAUGAAGUGGGAAGAGAUGGG